rnacentral:rRNA from 1 species
UGAGGAAUAUUGGUCAAUGGGCGAGAGCCUGAACCAGCCAAGUAGCGUGCAGGAUGACGGCCCUAUGGGUUGUAAACUGCUUUUAUGUGGGGAUAAAGUGAGCUACGUGUAGUUUAUUGCAGGUACCACAUGAAUAAGGACCGGCUAAUUCCGUGCCAGCAGCCGCGGUAAUACGGAAGGUCCAGGCGUUAUCCGGAUUUAUUGGGUUUAAAGGGAGCGUAGGCCGUGGAUUAAGCGUGUUGUGAAAUGUAGACGCUCAACGUCUGAAUUGCAGCGCGAACUGGUUCACUUGAGUAUGCACAACGUAGGCGGAAUUCGUCGUGUAGCGGUGAAAUGCUUAGAUAUGACGAAGAACUCCGAUUGCGAAGGCAGCUGACGGGAGCGCAACUGACGCUUAAGCUCGAAGGUGCGGGUAUCAAACAGGAUUAGAUACCCUGGUAGUCCGCACAGUAAACGAUGGAUGCCCGCUGUUGGUACCUGGUAUCAGCGGCUAAGCGAAAGCAUUAAGCAUCCCACCUGGGGAGUACGCCGGCAACGGUG